rnacentral:rRNA from 1 species
UUAUAGCUAUACUUACACAUGCAAGUAUCCGCGCCCCUGUGAAAAUGCCCUUAAGCCUCCUUUUAGAGGAUAAGGAGCCGGUAUCAGGCUCACACGCUAGCCCAUGACACCUUGCUCUGCCACACCCCUAAGGGAACUCAGCAGUGAUAAACAUUGAACAUGAGCGACUAAGCUCGACUCAGUUACAGCUUAUAGGGUCGGUCAAUCUCGUGCCAGCCGCCGCGGUUAUACGAAAGACCCAAACUGACAACCCCCGGCGUAAAGCGUGAUUAGAGAGCCUUCCCACUAGAGUUAAAUAUUAGCUAAGCCGUCGCACGCUUUAGCUACUCAGAGAUCCAGCCACGAAAGUGACUCUACCCCCCCCCCCUUGAACUCACGACCGCUAGGGCACAAACUGGGAUUAGAUACCCCACUAUGCCUAGCCUUAAACACUGAUCACUUACACAAU